UACGUAGGGUGCAAGCGUUAAUCGGAAUUACUGGGCGUAAAGCGUGCGCAGGCGGUUAUGUAAGACAGAUGUGAAAUCCCCGGGCUUAACCUGGGAAUGGCGCUUGAAACUACGGGACUGGAGUAUGGCAGAGGGAGGUGGAAUUCCACGUGUAGCGGUGAAAUGCGUAGAGAUGUGGAGGAACACCGAUGGCGAAGGCAGCCUCCUGGGCCAAUACUGACGCUCAUGCACGAAAGCGUGGGGAGCAAACAGG
rnacentral:rRNA from 1 species